GGGGUUGUGGCUCAGCGGUAGAGCGUUCACCUAGCACGUGCAAGACCCUGGGUUUGGUCCUCAGCACCACUU
rfam:Ictidomys tridecemlineatus contig059675, whole genome shotgun sequence.